rnacentral:lncRNA from 1 species
AAGGUUUUGGCUUUAAAGAGUUUGCACUUUUUUUCCUUUGGCAAGAAAAAAUGGACAGGCUUAUUUAAGUUAAAUGCUUUUCAAAGAUACUUUCACAGCAGCUUUCAUCUCUCUUUUUCUUUGUUUCCAAUUUUCAUGAAAAUAACUGCAGUAAGACAAGUGCAAAGUCUUUUUGAUCAUUUCAGUGGUAAUGAUAAUGCAGCUUUGUGAACUGCAAGGCACGUUGUCUGAAAAAGCUAUAUUCUACAACAAGCAGAGGAGGAAAUGGAGCAGAGUGACUGGCAGACUUUCCCCCAGAUCAGUCAUCAAUUACAUAAAAUUCUUCCAUCUGUAACUUCACAAAUUGCCACUGAAAUAUCCAUUCAGAGCCACAGCCACGCUAGAGGUGAUGGAAGAGAGGACAAGGAAGAAGAAAUGUUUCUUACGAAUAAAAUGUGAAGAGAAUGUGGUCGGCAGAGAUGAUACUUAACGCUUCCAAGUAAAUGUGAAAGUGACUGACUCUUUUACAGCACUUCCUUUUUUGGUGCUUUUCUUUCUGACUGUGAUAGACCGCUAUAUCUGAGAGCCAUCCUUCUGCCGUUGUAGCUUCAGUUUAUGACUGUGCAGCCAUUUAAUUUGAUUAAAAAUAGCACUUUGGCAGACAUGUGUCAUUAGGCUAUUCUGUGUUUCACACCAGAAAAAUGUAAAAUGUCCCAUUACUGUCUUUGCUUACGUCCCACCCCCACAAAAUGUUGAAAUUUUUGCUUGUAUGCCAUUCCCUAUUGUGCAUUGAGCACAAUAGGGUGGCAGAUGUGCACAAAAGGUAGUCUUGAUAUAGGCAGGUUGCAAUUCCAACUGCUGAGCCUGCAAAGAAAAAUAAGAUUAUGAUCAAUUAGACAAGGUUUAAUUCUACCUAACUUCAAA